UACCUUUUUUUAAUUAGUAAAUGUUAUUUGUUUAUGGAAAUGUAGGUAUUUUAGCAUAGAGAUGGGAUAACUCCUCCCUAAAUAUUUGUUGUUUGGGCUGGCAGUGUUUACAGAUUGUUAGAAAUAAAUUACCUACUAUAAUUGGAGUCUCCAGUUAUAGAGUUGAAGGACUGAUAUCAUCUAUUCUCUCCUCUGAAUGGUAAGGUUCUUCUUAGUUCAGCAGACAUUAAAACUUUUUUCUGAUGAGGUGCUCCACUAAUGCACACUGUUUCCAAAUUAGAGUUGGCCAGUGAAGAUUAUUCUGAUAGCUUAAAAAAAAAAACUUGCAUUGGUGGUAGAGCAAUUAGCAUGGAUUUUAUGAUGUGUUGGUAAGAGAAAUAUCACUUGAAAUUCCAUAGAAAUAUAUUGUGAAUCAUUUCCAAAAAAAGACUUCUCUUGAAAAGAUGAGUUGUUUUGAAACACCUAAUGUAGAAAAAGUACUGAAUAGAUUGCAACUCUAUGAAACAAAAGGACAGACAUACUUAAGAUUCCAUCCUAAAAUAUUUAUCCUUUCCAUGGUGGUAAAUGCCUACUAAACCAAUUAAGAGGAGUAUUAUUUCACUCUAGCAGUGGGAGUAAAACUUAAGCUCACCUUCCUUUAGAAAUUUCCAGAUCCCAAGAAGAGCAGAGAAAUUAGCUAGGUUUGUUUCUGCUUCUAAUGUUGUUAUCUGAACUUUAAAAUAUUGUUCUGUCAUUGAAAUUUAGAGACAGUUAAGCAAUGAGGGGGAGAAGUGAUAUUAGAAAAAGUAAGAAAAAACUUUUGGAGCUUUUGAGAUCGUCCUUCCAUGGAACUAAACAUGAACUAAAAUUUUAAUAAACGUCAUUGACUUAUCUCUGAUACUGAAGAAAAAAUUCAGAACGCUUCAAGUGGACCAAAAGCUUGCUACAGUAUAGGGAUAUUCCGUCUUAAUGUUUCUUUUUACGUGUUUGGAUUUAUAAAUUUGGUCUCUAACAUGCUUCUCAAACAAGCAUUUUCUAAGCUCAUCUUCCUACAGUAGAGCCUCUUGUGUAACUCUCCUUGUGUUUUUAAAUAAUGUGUAAUGUAAGCUCCAUGGUGACUUUAAAAUAUACUUCCCACUUAGCAUAGGACUAUUUGCUUUUAUCACAUUAUUUAUGGAGAUGACUGGUUGUUGUAGAGUCUCUCUGAGGAACCUACUGCCUCUCUUCCCCACCCCGCUCUGACACAAAAGGCGGGGGAGGGGAGAGUAGAAAAUGCCUUCAGAAUACUGCCUCGUUUAAUGAUAUCUUAAGCACCAGGUGUUGAUUUAUGAGUAAAGAGACAUGCUACGAAAGGAACCAGGCUUGGAGUGUACCACUGGGUAGCUAAGCAUCGUCUAAGAUGUGUGUAAGAACAGCACAGUUAAGCCAUUGCAUUCCAUAGUUUUAAGCUUUGACCUCCAAUCAAUUAUGCAACAGAUAGAACAUAUCAGGUCAGUCUUUCCUACUUGUCAGAAAGAAUACGGUUCUAAUUCCAGAACAAUCUCUCUUUUAAGGGCUCAGGUAGGGUGGGUGAGUUAAAUGGAAAUUCAUACUUACACUUAAAUUUUGAGGUUGGUGUCACCAAAUUAACAAGCUUCAUUAAAAUAAGAUAGUGAGAGAGUGGCUCAUCUCACAGAAUAAUUUUUUGCCUUAUUUAAGAUUCAUUAUUUGAUUUAAUUGUCAUUAUUUGAUUUUGGAGCUAAUACUCUCACUCUGGGUUUGUUAAGGUUUUUGCAUCCAUCUCCAGGUGGGGCAGCCAGGGCAAUGAAUUUAGGUUAUAAGUCAUAUGCAUUCCACACAACAAAUGGAGUAAGUUUUAAACGGGUUGUAAGUUUUUUGGAGGGGAGAUGAAUUCUUUGGACACCACUGCAUAUCAAAUUAGGAACAAGCUCCAUCAAUGGAAUUGCUUCCAUGCCUUUGUCUUGUGCCUUACCUAUGGGGAAAAAAAUAACUUCAGCACUUAAAUAACCGAACCAUUCAUUCUAUUUUUAUUUUUCACUUUUCUGUAAAUGCUACAUUAGAUGUAAAAAGGUCUUUAAAAGAUUAUUUUAAAGUCAGUCUACCAACUCUUAAGUAUUCCUUUAAAAAAAAAUCCAUAGUAGUAUUGAUAAAUAGGGGUCAAGUAAAUGUAAAUGAUGCAGGACAGAGAUUUGGUUUUUUUUUUUUUUUAAUUCAAGUGACAUUUGAAAACUUUUCAAAACACCUAUAUAACACCUGGUGUGGCAAAACUCUGGAAAAGUGUUUUUUAAAGACGGUAUCUUUGGAGAAUGCCUAAGUGUGUGGGGGACGGGGAUAAUCUAUAUCUGAAUAUCUUUAUAAAGUGAAUUCUUAAAAUUUGCAAAGCUAUUUACCACUGAAUAUGCUGCCAUUUAUAUAACCUCUCUCCUUUCAGCAUGCUAGAAAGCAAAGAGAAUGGAAAUAAGGUAGCCAGAAGGAAAGAAAGCACGAAGAUAAUGAAGCAGUAACACCUACUGAUACACCAUGGAACCACUGCUCCUUCCAACACACUUUGGAAAUGUUAAUCCAAUUCAAUGAGCACAUCUUAAAGAUGAGGAAACGAAGGCCCAGAGAAGGUAAUAAAAUGGGAAACUGUUAAACACACAUCCAUCUUCUGAACUGUGUUAUCCUAAGUCCAGGAGGAACCUUUCAAAACAGGAGUUCAGUCAGUCACAAACCUUGCUCUGUACAGACUCUCCUCAGCCCCAGAACCAGUGUUUCAGGGUGAAUCUUUCCCCAGGGCCAGAAGGAGAAGGGAAAUGACAACUCACCAGGAGAAACAGAGGGCUGACAGCUACCCAGCAGAUCCUCCAAAACCAUCCAGGGCUGAAGCCGAGCAUUUCCUUCACAU